UUCCUACGGGUGGCUGCAGUCGAGAAUCUUCGGCAAUGGGCGCAAGCCUGACCGAGCGACGCCGCGUGCGGGAUGAAGGCCCUUGGGUUGUAAACCGCUGUCAGAGGGGAUGAAAUGCGGGUGGGUUCUCCCAUCCGUUUGACAUAGCCUCAGAGGAAGCACGGGCUAAGUUCGUGCCAGCAGCCGCGGUAAUACGAACUGUGCAAACGUUAUUCGGAAUCACUGGGCUUAAAGGGUGCGUAGGCGGCCAGAUAAGUAGGGUGUGAAAGCCUCCGGCUUAACCGGAGAAUGGCGCUCUAAACUGUCUGGCUGGAGUGAGAUAGGGGUGUGCGGAACUUCCGGUGGAGCGGUGAAAUGUGUUGAUAUCGGAAGGAACGCCGGUGGCGAAAGCGGCACACUGGAUCUCAACUGACGCUGAGGCACGAAAGCCAGGGGAGCAAACGGGAUUAGAUACCCCAGUAGUCG
rnacentral:rRNA from 1 species